ACUCAAAUGAAUUGACGGGGGCCCGCACAAGCAGCGGAGCAUGUGGUUUAAUUCGAUGCAACGCGAAGAACCUUACCUGGGCUUGACAUGUAAGUGACAGCCGUGGAAACACGGUUUUCCUUCGGGACACUUUCACAGGUGGUGCAUGGCUGUCGUCAGCUCGUGUCGUGAGAUGUUGGGUUAAGUCCCGCAACGAGCGCAACCCCCGUCCCAUGUUGCCAGCAUUUAGUUGGGGACUCAUGGGAGACUGCCGGUGACAAACCGGAGGAAGGUGGGGAUGACGUCAAGUCAUCAUGCCCCUUAUGUCCAGGGCUACACACGUGCUACAUUGGCCGGUACAGAGGGUUGCGAUGCCGCGAGGCGGAGCGAAUCCCAAAAAGCCGGUCUCGGUUCGGAUUGGAGGCUGAAACUCGCCUCCAUGAAGUUGGAGUUGCUAGUAAUCGCGGAUCAGCAACGCCGCGGUGAAUACGUUCCCGGGCCUUGUACACACCGCCCGU
rnacentral:rRNA from 1 species